UACAGAGGUCUCAAGCGUUGUUCGGAUUCAUUGGGCGUAAAGGGUGCGUAGGCGGCGCGGUAAGUCGGGUGUGAAAUCUCGGAGCUUAACUCCGAAACUGCAUUCGAUACUGCCGUGCUUGAGGACUGGAGAGGAGACUGGAAUUUACGGUGUAGCGGUGAAAUGCGUAGAUAUCGUAAGGAAGACCAGUGGCGAAGGCGGCAUCCUGGACCGGCAUUGACGCUGAGGAGCGAAAGCCAGGGGAGCAAACGGG
rnacentral:rRNA from 1 species